rnacentral:rRNA from 1 species
ACGCUGGCGGCGUGCCUAAUACAUGCAAGUAGAACGCUGAAGAGAGGAGCUUGCUCUUCUUGGAUGAGUUGCGAACGGGUGAGUAACGCGUAGGUAACCUGCCUUGUAGCGGGGGAUAACUAUUGGAAACGAUAGCUAAUACCGCAUAACAAUGGAUGACACAUGUCAUUUAUUUGAAAGGGGCAAUUGCUCCACUACAAGAUGGACCUGCGUUGUAUUAGCUAGUAGGUGAGGUAACGGCUCACCUAGGCGACGAUACAUAGCCGACCUGAGAGGGUGAUCGGCCACACUGGGACUGAGACACGGCCCAGACUCCUACGGGAGGCAGCAGUAGGGAAUCUUCGGCAAUGGGGGCAACCCUGACCGAGCAACGCCGCGUGAGUGAAGAAGGUUUUCGGAUCGUAAAGCUCUGUUGUAAGUCAAGAACGAGUGUGAGAGUGGAAAGUUCACACUGUGACGGUAGCUUACCAGAAAGGGACGGCUAACUACGUGCCAGCAGCCGCGGUAAUACGUAGGUCCCGAGCGUUGUCCGGAUUUAUUGGGCGUAAAGCGAGCGCAGGCGGUUUGAUAAGUCUGAAGUUAAAGGCUGUGGCUCAACCAUAGUUCGCUUUGGAAACUGUCAAACUUGAGUGCAGAAGGGGAGAGUGGAAUUCCAUGUGUAGCGGUGAAAUGCGUAGAUAUAUGGAGGAACACCGGUGGCGAAAGCGGCUCUCUGGUCUGUAACUGACGCUGAGGCUCGAAAGCGUGGGGAGCGAACAGGAUUAGAUACCCUGGUAGUCCACGCCGUAAACGAUGAGUGCUAGGUGUUGGAUCCUUUCCGGGAUUCAGUGCCGCAGCUAACGCAUUAAGCACUCCGCCUGGGGAGUACGACCGCAAGGUUGAAACUCAAAGGAAUUGACGGG